rnacentral:rRNA from 1 species
CCUACGGUGAGCAGCAGUAGGGAAUAUUGCUCAAUGGGGGAAACCCUGAAGCAGCAACGCCGCGUGGAGGAUGCAGGUUUUCGGAUUGUAAACUCCUUUUGUUAGAGAAGAUAUGACGGUAUCUAACGAAUAAGCACCGGCUUACUCCGUGCCAGCAGCCGGGGGAAUACGGAGGUGGCAAGCGUUACUCGGACUCACUGGGCGUAAAGAGGGGGUAGGCGGGAUAGCAAGUCAGAUGUGAAAUCCUAUGGCUUAACCAUAGAACUGCAUUUGAAACUGUGAUUCUAGAGUAUGGGAGAGGUAGGUGGAAUGCUUGGUGUAGGGGUAAAAUCCGUAGAGAUCAAGAGGAAUACUCAUUGCGAAGGCGACCUGCUAGAACAUAACUGACGCUGAUGCGCGAAAGCGUGGGGAGCAAACAGGAUUAGAUACCCCUGUAGUC